UUGCUCAGGUUCUGUCCUAUUUCCUCGACAGUCCGGUCCAUCGGAUACCCAGAUAUGGUCCGCAGUGUGGUUCGGGCGGCAUCCGUGUCAGCAACCAGAGGGAACUUGGUCCCAUAGUUCCGGGGGUGUGCACCUUGGUACCCCGGCAGUUGUGUCUCCCGGGUGGAAGAAUAAUUGUAUCGACCCCGGGAGGACUCCCCAG
rnacentral:lncRNA from 1 species